GUUUUUUUCUUUUUCUUUUUUUAAAUAGGCCAAGGUUGAGGCCUGGUUGAGAAAAGUAUUCAGAGAAGCCUGGCUAGAGUUUGGUCAAUGAGUGAUUUUUGUGAGGAAACAGAAAGCCUAGUGCACCACUUCUCUCCCCUGUCCUCCCCAGAUAUGUAUUUAGGCUGAAACUCCUAGGAUGCAAGAAUCCUAUCUGCAGAGUACUGCAAGGAGGAGAGUUGGCAUACAGCCUUCUGUCUGUUCUCACACAGAGGCACUGUGCUUGCCUCCCCUCUAGACUAUCAUUGCUAGAAGGGACCCCAGAGAUCAACUACUCAUUCUCCUUCAAGUCUUUGAAAAGAAAAAAAAAAAAAAGUACUCCCCUAACACCAUAUUAUUUCUGAGGACAGGAACUAUCUCUUGGUUUCCCAUUAUGUCCCCAGCAUUGCCUGGGCCUGGUGUGCUUCUUGUUUGGUUUUUGUUUUGUUUUUGGUUUGUUGUUGUUGUUGUUGAGACAAGGUCUCUCAAAGUUGCUGAGGGCCUUGGUAUAUUGCUGAGACUGGCUUUGAACCUGCGAUCCUGCUGCCACAUCCUCCCAAGCCGCUGGGAUUACAGGAAUGAGCCACCGUCCUUGGCUCAUGUGCUGAUUUUCCCUAAGAAUUUCUUACUUAAAUCCCCCUCCUUGUCCACUCUCCCAGCCCAAUCAGAGGCAAGAUUUUCUUCCUCUGAAUGCCACUAGAGCUGAGUCUAAAGCCUGAUCUUCAAAUGUAGAAAUGUAUUUUCUAUUUUGUGUAAUAUAUACAUAUAUUUACAUAUACA
rnacentral:lncRNA from 1 species